GACGAACGCUGGCGGCGUGCUUAACACAUGCAAGUCGAGCGGUAAGGCCCUUUCGGGGGUACACGAGCGGCGAACGGGUGAGUAACACGUGGGUGACCUGCCCUCAGCUCUGGGAUAAGCCUGGGAAACCGGGUCUAAUAACCGGAUAUGACUCCAUGACGCAUGUUGUGGGGUGGAAAGCCUUGUGCGGCUGAGGAUGGGCCCGCGGCCUAUCAGCUUGUUGGUGGGGUGAUGGCCUACCAAGGCGACGACGGGCAGCCGGCCUGAGAGGGCGACCGGCCACACUGGGACUGAGACACGGCCCAGACUCCUACGGGAGGCAGCAGUGGGGAAUCUUGCGCAAUGGGCGAAAGCCUGACGCAGCGACGCCGCGUGAGGGAUGAC
rnacentral:rRNA from 1 species